rnacentral:lncRNA from 1 species
UUCUUAUUGUUGUUUUUUUGUUGUUAUUGUUUUUAUUGUUGUUGUCGUUCUUGUCGUCCUUGUCGUCAUCGUUGUCAUCAUCGUCGUCCUGGUCGUCAUUGACGUCGUUGUCAUCGUUGCUGUUUUUGCCGUUGUUGUCAUUUUUUUGUAGUAGUUGUUGUUGUCGUUGUCGUUGUUCUCGUCGUAGUCGUUGUUGUCGCGGUUGUAGUCGUUGUUGC